rnacentral:rRNA from 1 species
UACGUAGGGACCUAGCGUUGUCCGGAAUCAUUGGGCGUAAAGCGCGCGUAGGCGGCCCGGUAAGUCCGUUGUAAAAGUCGAAGGCUCAACCUUCGAAAGCCGAUGGAUACUGCCGGGCUAGAGUCCGGAAGAGGCGAGUGGAAUUCCUGGUGUAGCGGUGAAAUGCGCAGAUAUCAGGAGGAACACCAAUGGCGAAGGCAGCUCGCUGGGACGGUACUGACGCUGAGGCGCGAAAGCGUGGGUAGCAAACAGG